rnacentral:lncRNA from 1 species
CCCGCACUAAGGUGAAGAUUUGAUCUUUAUGUUUAAUUAUUCUUAAGUUUUAAUCUUGAGGAUAUGAUAGAUCUAACUUUAUGAGAUGUGAUCUCAAUGAUGCAUGCUAGAUUAGAUAUCUUCCGCUGUGUGAAAAUUUUUUUUGAUCAUGCAUGCGUACCCAUAAUUUUUCCUUCCCUGAAAUCUCAUCCAUUGUAGGAAGCGACCAUUGUUUGUCUCAGUAUGCAUCAGAACUCUAGUAGUCUCCCCCUC